UGUCCUGCAUGGGACGGGGUUAAAAGCUCCGGCGGUGAAGGAUGAGCCCGCGGCCUAUCAGCUUGUUGGUGGGGUAAUGGCCUACCAAGGCGACGACGGGUAGCCGGCCUGAGAGGGCGACCGGCCACACUGGGACUGAGACACGGCCCAGACUCCUACGGGAGGCAGCAGUGGGGAAUAUUGCACAAUGGGCGAAAGCCUGAUGCAGCGACGCCGCGUGAGGGAUGACGGCCUUCGGGUUGUAAACCUCUUUCAGCAGGGAAGAAGCGAAAGUGACGGUACCUGCAGAAGAAGCGCCGGCUAACUACGUGCCAGCAGCCGCGGUAAUACGUAGGGCGCAAGCGUUGUCCGGAAUUAUUGGGCGUAAAGAGCUCGUAGGCGGCUUGUCACGUCGGAUGUGAAAGCCCGGGGCUUAACCCCGGGUCUGCAUUCGAUACGGGCUAGCUAGAGUGUGGUAGGGGAGAUCGGAAUUCCUGGUGUAGCGGUGAAAUGCGCAGAUAUCAGGAGGAACACCGGUGGCGAAGGCGGAUCUCUGGGCCAUUACUGACGCUGAGGAGCGAAAGCGUGGGGAGCGAACAGGAUUAGAUACCCUGGUAGUCCACGCCGUAAACGUUGGGWACUAGGUGUUGGCGACAUUCCACGUCGUCGGUGCCGCAGCUAACGCAUU
rnacentral:rRNA from 1 species